AUCCAGCUGACGAGACCCAAACAGGACGAAAUCCGCAUCAUGGGU
rnacentral:hammerhead_ribozyme from 1 species